GAUGAACGCUGGCGGCGUGCCUAAUACAUGCAAGUCGAGCGAACAGACGAGGAGCUUGCUCCUCUGACGUUAGCGGCGGACGGGUGAGUAACACGUGGAUAACCUACCUAUAAGACUGGGAUAACUUCGGGAAACCGGAGCUAAUACCGGAUAAUAUAUUGAACCGCAUGGUUCAAUAGUGAAAGACGGUUUUGCUGUCACUUAUAGAUGGAUCCGCGCCGCAUUAGCUAGUUGGUAAGGUAACGGCUUACCAAGGCAACGAUGCGUAGCCGACCUGAGAGGGUGAUCCGCCCAACUGGAACUGGGGCACGGUCCCGACUCCUACGGGAGGCAGCCGUAGGGAAUCUUCCGCAAUGGGCGGAAGCCUGACGGAGCAACGCCGCGUGGGGGAUGAAGGUCUUCGGAUCGUAAAACCCUGUUAUUAGGGAAGAACAAAUUUGUAAGUAACUAUGCACGUCUUGACGGUACCUAAUCAGAAAGCCACGGCUAACUACGUG
rnacentral:rRNA from 1 species